GACGAACGCUGGCGGCGUGCUUAACACAUGCAAGUCGAGCGGUAAGGCCCUUUCGGGGGUACACGAGCGGCGAACGGGUGAGUAACACGUGGGUGACCUGCCCUUAGCUCUGGGAUAAGCCUGGGAGACUGGGUCUAAUACCGGAUAUGACUCCAUGACGCAUGUUGUGGGGUGGAAAGCCUUGUGCGGCUAGGGAUGGGCCCGCGGCCUAUCAGCUUGUUGGUGGGGUGAUGGCCACCAAGGCGACGACGGGUAGCCGGCCUGAGAGGGCGACCGGCCACACUGGGACUGAGACACGGCCCAGACUCCUACGGGAGGCAGCAGUGGGGAAUCUUGCGCAAUGGGCGAAAGCCUGACGCAGCGACGCCGCGUGA
rnacentral:rRNA from 1 species